rnacentral:rRNA from 1 species
AGAGUUUGAUCCUGGCUCAGGACGAACGCUGGCGGCGUGCCUAACACAUGCAAGUCGAACGGGGUAAUUUCUUCGGAGAUUACUUAGUGGCGAACGGGUGAGUAACGCGUGAGGAACCUGCCUUUCAGUGGGGGACAACAGUUGGAAACGACUGCUAAUACCGCAUAAUGUUGUGAGAUCGCAUGGUCUUGCAACCAAAGAUUUAUUGCUGAAAGAUGGCCUCGCGUCUGAUUAGCUAGUUGGUGGGGUAACGGCCCACCAAGGCGACGAUCAGUAGCCGGUCUGAGAGGAUGAACGGCCACAUUGGGACUGAGAUACGGCCCAGACUCCUACGGGAGGCAGCAGUGGGGAAUAUUGGGCAAUGGGGGAAACCCUGACCCAGCAACGCCGCGUGAAGGAAGAAGGCCUUCGGGUUGUAAACUUCUUUUACCAGGGACGAAGAACGUGACGGUACCUGGAGAAAAAGCAACGGCUAACUACGUGCCAGCAGCCGCGGUAAUACGUAGGUUGCAAGCGUUGUCCGGAUUUACUGGGUGUAAAGGGCGUGUAGGCGGAGAUGCAAGUUGGGAGUGAAAUCCCGGGGCUCAACCCCGGAACUGCUUUCAAAACUGCAUCCCUUGAGUAUCGGAGAGGCAAGCGGAAUUCCUAGUGUAGCGGUGAAAUGCGUAGAUAUUAGGAGGAACACCAGUGGCGAAGGCGGCUUGCUGGACGACAACUGACGCUGAGGCGCGAAAGCGUGGGGAGCAAACAGGAUAAGAUACCCUGGUAGUCCACACCGUAAACGAUGAUUACUAGGUGUGGGGGGACUGACCCCUUCCGUGCCGGAGUUAACGCAAUAAGUAAUCCACCUGGGGAGUACGGCCGCAAGGUUGAAACUCAAAGGAAUUGACGGGGGCCCGCACAAGCAGUGGAGUAUGUGGUUUAAUUCGACGCAACGCGAAGAACCUUACCAGGUCUUGACAUCGUAUGCAUAGUGUAGAGAUACAUGAAGUCCUUCGGGACAUACAGACAGGUGGUGCAUGGUUGUCGUCAGCUCGUGUCGUGAGAUGUUGGGUUAAGUCCCGCAACGAGCGCAACCCUUGUAUUUAGUUGCUACGCAAGAGCACUCUAGAUAGACUGCCGUGGACAACACGGAGGAAGGUGGGGAUGACGUCAAACCAUCAUGCCCCUUAUGACCUGGGCUACACACGUACUACAAUGGCAAUCGAACAGAGGGAAGCAACUCAGCGAUGAGAAGCAGAUCCCGAAAAAUUGUCUCAGUUCGGAUUGCAGGCUGCAACCCGCCUGCAUGAAGUCGGAAUUGCUAGUAAUCGCGGAUCAGCAUGCCGCGGUGAAUACGUUCCCGGGCCUUGCACACACCGCCCGUCA